AUUGAACGCUGGCGGCAGGCCUAACACAUGCAAGUCGAAUGGUAACAGGAAACAGCUUGCUGUUUCGCUGACGAGUGGCGGACGGGUGAGUAAUGUCUGGGAAACUGCCUGAUGGAGGGGGAUAACUACUGGAAACGGUAGCUAAUACCGCAUAACGUCGCAAGACCAAAGAGGGGGACCUUCGGGCCUCUUGCCAUCAGAUGUGCCCAGAUGGGAUUAGCUAGUAGGUGGGGUAACGGCUCACCUCGGCGACGAUCCCUAGCUGGUCUGAGAGGAUGACCAGCCACACUGGAACUGAGACACGGUCCAGACUCCUACGGGAGGCAGCAGUGGGGAAUAUUGCACAAUGGGCGCAAGCCUGAUGCAGCCAUGCCGCGUGUAUGAAGAAGGCCUUCGGGUUGUAAAGUACUUUCAGCGGGGAGGAAGGGAGUAAAGUUAAUACCUUUGCUCAUUGACGUUACCCGCAGAAGAAGCACCGGCUAACUCCGUG
rnacentral:rRNA from 1 species